GAUGUGACAAAAAGGGAUGAACCUUAUGAAACAUUAAAUAUUCUAAAUAGUAGAUAUUAUACCAUAAAUAUGAUGAAUACAUUGAGACAGUGGGGCGGUUGUUAUGGAAGUAGAAAUCCGCUAAGAAACGUGUUACAACGUACCUACCGAAUGUAUUAUUGUAUAAAAUGGAAGAAGAUUACUACUUUUAUGAGAUGUUUCUGUUGUAUUUAUUUAUCAGGUAGCUGUGCAAUUUGUUUGUAUUGAAGUAUAUAUGUGAAUAUAUAUAGAAGAAACAAAUGAGCCGAUCUUGGAGGCAGUAACAAUAUAUUUGUAUAGAUAUUAGACUAGGGUUUUCAAUUAUUAUUGAAGUGAAUCGGUGUUAUUUUAUAAAAACAAAAAAGAUUAAUAAUUCUUUAUUAAACUAUUUUAAGGCGACUUGAUGAUGACAGUAUAUUUAUUAAUCUAAGAUAAAUGAAUUAGAUUAUUUAUUUAUUAACUAUGGAUUGUCAUGAUAAGAAGUAGUUAUUUAUAUAUACUUGAUAAAAAUAUUAUAGUUUUAACCGUACCUAUACCGCAUCAGGAGUCUUUGUAUCAUAACAAAUAUUUUAAAUUAAAGUAAGUAAGGGAAUUCGGCAAAUUAGAUCUGUAACUUUGGGAUAAAGAUUGGCUCUAGCAUGCUAGAACUUUUACUAUGUAAGGAAUCUGACUGUUUAUUAAAAACAUAGCUUUUUGUAAUUACAAGAAGUGAAUUCUGCCCAGUGCAUUUAUUGUUAAAGUUGUGUAAGCGAAUGUAAACGGCGGGAGUAACUAUGACUCUCUUAAGGUAGCCAAAUGCCUCGUCAUUUAAUUGGUG
rnacentral:ncRNA from 1 species